rnacentral:rRNA from 1 species
GACGAACGCUGGCGGCGUGCUUAACACAUGCAAGUCGAACGGAAAGGCCCUGCUUUUGUGGGGUGCUCGAGUGGCGAACGGGUGAGUAACACGUGAGUAACCUGCCCUUUACUUUGGGAUAACUUCAGGAAACUGGGGCUAAUACCGGAUAUGAGCUCCUGCUGCAUGGUGGGGGUUGGAAAGUUUCGGCGGUUGGGGAUGGACUCGCGGCUUAUCAGCUUGUUGGUGGGGUAGUGGCUUACCAAGGCUUUGACGGGUAGCCGGCCUGAGAGGGUGACCGGCCACAUUGGGACUGAGAUACGGCCCAGACUCCUACGGGAGGCAGCAGUGGGGAAUAUUGCACAAUGGGCGGAAGCCUGAUGCAGCAACGCCGCGUGCGGGAUGACGGCCUUCGGGUUGUAAACCGCUUUCGCCUAUGACGAAGCGUGAGUGACGGUAAUGGGUAAAGAAGCACCGGCUAACUACGUG